AAAAAAGGCGGUAGGCAUGAUUCUUAGGCAAAUCCGGGAAUCUUUAUGCCGAGCACCGAGACGAGUCCUAUGAGGACGAAGUGACUGACACCACGCUUCCAGGAAAAGCCACUAAGCUUCAGCUGUAGAAAAACCGUACCGCAAACCGACACAGGUAGGCAGGGUGAGAAUCCCAAGGCGCUUGAGAGAACUCGGGUGAAGGAACUAGGCAAAAUGGCACCGUAACUUCGGGAGAAGGUGCGCCUCUUGGUGUGGUCACGUGCGUGACUGAGCAUCGAGGGGUCGCAGUAACCUGGCCGCUGCGACUGUUUAUCAAAAACACAGCACUCUGCAAACACGAAAGUGGACGUAUAGGGUGUGACGCCUGCCCGGUGCUGGAAGGUUAAUUGAUGGGGUCAGCCGCAAGGCGAAGCUCUUGAUCGAAGCCCCAGUAAACGGCGGCCGUAACAAUAACGGUCCUAAGGUAGCGAAAUUCCUUGUCGGGUAAGUUCCGACCUGCACGAAUGGCGUAACGACAGCGGCGCUGUCUCCACCCGAGACUCAGUGAAAUUGAAAUCGCUGUGAAGAUGCAGCGUUCCCGCGGCAAGACGGAAAGACCCCGUGAACCUUUACUAUAGCUUUACACUGAACGUUGAGUUCUUCUGUGUAGGAUAGGUGGGAGGCUAUGAAACCAGGACGCUAGUUCUGGUGGAGCCAUCCUUGAAAUACCACCCUGAAGUGCUUGACGUUCUAACCUAGGUCCGUAAUCCGGAUCGGGGACCGUGUAUGGUGGGUAGUUUGACUGGGGCGGUCUCCUCCCAAAGAGUAACGGAGGAGCACGAAGGUACGCUCAGCGCGGUCGGACAUCGCGCACUGUGUGCAAAGGCAUAAGCGUGCUUGACUGCGAGAUCGACGGAUCAAGCAGGUACGAAAGUAGGUCUUAGUGAUCCGGUGGUUCUGUAUGGAAGGGCCAUCGCUCAACGGAUAAAAGGUACUCCGGGGAUAACAGGCUGAUACCGCCCAAGAGUUCAUAUCGACGGCGGUGUUUGGCACCUCGAUGUCGGCUCAUCACAUCCUGGGGCUGUAGCCGGUCCCAAGGGUAUGGCUGUUCGCCAUUUAAAGUGGUACGCGAGCUGGGUUCAGAACGUCGUGAGACAGUUCGGUCCCUAUCUGUCGUGGGCGUUGGAGAUUUGAGGGGGGCUGCUCCUAGUACGAGAGGACCGGAGUGGACGUUCCGCUGGUGUUCGGGUUGUCAUGCCCAUGGCAUUGCCCGGUAGCUACGAACGGAAGUGAUAACCGCUGAAAGCAUCUAAGCGGGAAGCACGCCCCAAGAUGAGAUCUCCCGAGAGCUUGACUCUCCUAAAGGCACCAUCAAGACUAGGUGGUUGAUAGGCACGGUGUGGAAGUGCAGCAAUGCAUUGAGCUUACGUGUACUAAUGAGCCGUGAGGCUUGACC
rnacentral:rRNA from 1 species